AGUCAAUGCUAGAAAUGGACGUUUAGUUAUUGAAUCCCGCUAACGAGGGGAGCCAACAAGAGAGGGAUGUCGGCAUCGGGUGUGCGGUUCCAAGAACUGAUUGGCUGUGGAGAUUAGAAGUUAGGAACCUUUGCAACGGAAAGCGGCCUCGGGCAGGCGCCUUUUGAGCAGAGGAGUAAAACCGUCUCUUCCUGAACCAGUGACAGUGGUUCUCAAACAUUUUGGUCUGAGGACCCCUUUAUGGCCUUAAAAAUGAUCGAAGAGCUUUUAUUUAUGAAGGUAAUACCUGCUAAUACUUGUUGUAAUCUAUUAACAUUGAGAAAUGUAAAAAUUUUUAUUAAUUCACUUAAAAUAUCAAUAAACCCAUUAUUUGCUAAUAUAAAUUGCACUUUUUAAUGAAAAAUAACUUUAGUUUCUACUGUGUGCUUCUGCAUUUUGAAAAUAUGUCUAGGAUACGGUAUGUAUUUAGGAGAUAUUUUCUAAAUAAAUGCAUAUUCAUUUUUUAAAAUGGGACAAAUGUAGCAUAGACAUAUUUUUGCUAACAAUAUCCAUAUAGUUGCAAAUUUCACUUUUAGAAUUUGCUUUCAAAAACAGGUUGUUUAUUCUUCUUUGUUAUGCCUUAGUUAGUAAAUCAUAUAUUAUAAAACUUCUUCAAUGCAAUUGGUCUUUGGUCAGCCAUUGACAUAGGAAGAGUUAGAAAGAGUCCAGGGCUCCUUGGUACUGGCUGUGACUGGAUAAGUAGGUUGUGGCUUAGUUUGUGUUUAGGUGUCAUAACUAGGCUAGGUUUGGGUCCCAGAAAGUGCUAGCCUUACUGUAGGAGAGGAAGUGGUAUUGCUGGGUGUGUCCUCAGGUCAGGAAGUGGGACGAGUGCAGUAUGGAAGCCCAGGGGGGUCCUUGUGACUGGAGGAAAGGUGAGGUUUCCAGUAAAGGAUUCAGAAUUCGGGCAUGGUGCAGCAUGCCUAUAGCCCCAGCUACUCAGGAGGCUGAAGUGGGAGGAUCACUUGAGACCAGGAGUUCAAGGUUGCAGUGAGCUGUCAUUGCGCCACUGCACCCCAGCCUGGGUGACAGAGUGAGACCUGUCUCAAAAAUAAAUACAUAAAAAUAAUAAUUAAAAAAAAAGGAUUCAGAAUUCUAGAAUACAUAUUAUCUUUCUAUCAUGCAGAUCUGUUCUUAGGAUUGUAUUUUCCAAAUCAUGAAUAAAAUAAUUUCCAAAAUACUUAUUGGGAAAUUAUAUAUAUGUACUGUAUUACUUGGAAUAAAAAUCAAAUAAAAGUCAAACUUCUUAAUGUGGCUGUAAAGCCUUGAUUAUUUAAACCUUGCCUAUUUUUCAGUUUAAUCUUUCAGCCACACUGGCCCUUGUGUUAAUCCUAAAACAUGCCAUGCUUUUUCCUACAUUAAAGCUUAGGGUUUUUGAUAUUUCUACUGCCUGGAUUUCUCUGUUCUCACUCUUCCUCUUGAUCACCAUGACUUAUUUUUCAAGUGUUGGCUUAAAUGUCCGUCUCACAGAUAGCCCUUAUCUAAAUAACAGCUUUCCCUCUGGUUCCUAGAUAAAUUAGGACCUGUUUUUUUCUAUAACUUUCUUAAAGUAUCCUAUUAUUUUCCCUGAUAAAACCUUGUUGGACUGUUUGUCAGUAUAUUUAUUUGCCUGUUUGUUUGGUGUCAGUUUCUCUUUUUUUCCUGUGUGUUUUGUUUGUUUGUUUUUUUGAGACGCAGUUUCACUCUGUCACCAGGCUGGAGUGCAAUGGUGCAAUCUCGGCUCACCACAACCUCCACCUCCCAGGUUCAAGCAAUUCUUCUGCCUCAGCCUCCCGAGUAGCUGGGAUUACAGGCAUGUGCCACCAUCCUGGCUAAUUUUGUAUUUUUAGUAGAGACAGGGUUUUUCCAUGUUGGUCAGGCUGGUCGCAAACUCCCGACCUCAGGUGAUCCGCCUGUCUUGGCCUCCCAAGGUGCUGAGAUUACAGGCGUGAACCACCGCACCCGGCCUGUUUGUUUGUUUUCUUAUUAGACUAUAAACUAUAUGAGAUCAGACCAUGUCUCUUUUGUUUAUCACUCUGGCCUACCUGCUAACACAGUGCUUACACAUAAUAGUAGGUGCUCAAGAAAUACAGUGUUUGAUGGAUGAACGUAAAAUUGUAAGAGCCUGAACUAGUGUAAUAUCGAAAAUAGGGAGGAAGACAUGAAUUAGGAAAGCCUUUGAAAAAUUAGCAUGUUCUGUGAUAAAGCUACAUCUAGGCAAUAUUUUUUGAUACUUUUAAAAAAAAAACUGUAAUAGCUACCCAAUAUUUAGGAAUGAUACACAUCACACAUCUCAGUGAGGUAUGUAGCCUUUUGUACUGGUGAAGAGAGCCAGGUGAAGUCUAACUCUAAGGAUCUAAACACUCCAUUCUAGUAGAGAGCCUGGAGAAGUGCUCUUGCAUAAGCUCAUCCAUGUAAGACCAUCCAUAACUUAGUGAAAUAAUUUUCAUUGCUGUUUAGUUGCAAAAAUCACUCACUGUUUUGCCUCCAUAAGAUUAUCGGUUUUAGUGUUUAAUCGUUCACAGCCUUGUCAAAACCAAAAUGGCUAGGGAGAGAACUAUUUCCCUACAUUAAAACUUCGAGCAAUGCUCUUCAUAGAUUUUGUUUUGAAUUGUUUAGGCCCAUCUCAGAGUUCAAGACACUUAGUCUCUUCUAAGAGAAAUCAUGGUCACAACAAACAGAGAUUAAAUAAAGAGCAAGAAAUUAGAAGAAACUCAAACCAUUCACUUAGAUUAUUUGUUAGAUUUUGGCCUUAAAAAGAGACAAAGUUGCUUGAAACAAGUGAUUAAACUGACAUUUUUAGAUUAUUAUUUUAUUCAUACCUUUAUUGUGAAUAAAUUGGCCACAUGAUAACAUUUUAUAAUGUUAAAUAAAUAUGAUAUAUAUAAAUCUGUAUACCACAACAAUUAAAUUGGAGGGCGAUUUGCCAUUUAAAUAAUUUAUCAUAGGAUUUUUAUAAGAUCAAGCGCUUAGUGCAUAUCAAAGAGACAGAAAGUUUUCAUUGCAGUUCUGCACGUUCACUGAGUACCUUUUAUGUACCAGUUGCAUUGUUCUAGAAUCUUAUCUAUCAUGUAAAGCUAGGUACACCUGAAAUAGUUUAGUUAUGGUGGCAAAGUUAGACUGCAGUUAUUGGCUGGGAAUUUUUUGUAUAUCUAUGUACAUCUUCCAUAAGAGGGCAGCAAAGGACCAGCAUGAUUUUUUCCUUAUCAUGAAGUCAUAGCAGAGAUUGCCUCAUAUUGCAAACUUAAUAGAAAUCUUCUCAGAGUAAGGGCAAACAGAGGGCAUGGUUACAAGUUUACUUACUGUCUAGCCUGUCUUUUAUAUGGUCUGAUAUGGCUUUUUAGUACAUAGAUUAUCUCACAUCACAGUGAUAGCCUAGUGAUUAAAUGUUGAUCCUGGGGUCAGUUGUCAGGCUUUAAAUCCUGGAACCAUAACUUAACUAGCUUCGUGGUCUAGAAAGACUACUCAGUCUUUCUGAGCCUCAGUUUCUUCCUCAAUUUUUUAUAAAAAGGAGGGCAAGGGAUAGUAACAAUGCCACUUCACAUGGUUUUAAUAAACAAAAUAAAAUUUGUGUCCUGAAGAGGCUAAGAACAGUUAAAAGGUGGAGCUAGAAAAACCACCCUAUACUAGCCUUAGGUGUAUUGUAUUUAUUUAAGUUAAACUCUUAUUAAAAAGAGUCUCAUAAAGGAAAAUAUAGGUCAUUACUUUCUGUAACUACUUAGUAUUUUUAGUUAACUAACAUAUAUAUCUAUGUACUGACCAAUUAUUUGCUCGUACAAUUUAUCAAACCAAUUAAAUAUACACUGUUAAAUUUAUUUCCCUGUCCCCCGAGACAGAUCCUGGCUACGUUGCCCAGGCUGGAGUGCAGUGGCGCGAUUUUGGCUCACUGCAACCUCUGCCUCCCAGGUUCAGGCAAUUCUCCUGCCUCAGCCUCCUGAGUAGCUGGGAUUACAGAGGCCUGCCACCAUGCCUGGCUAAUUUUUGUAUUUUUAGUAGAGAUGGGAUUUCACCAUGUUGGCCAGGGUGGUCUCAAACUCCUGACCUCAGGUGAUCCAGCCGCCUCGGCCUCCCAGAGUGUUGGGAUUACAAGCAUGAGCCAGCACGCCUGGCCUGAAAAUACAUUUUGAUGAACAAAAAAUUUUUAAUUUUUUUUUUUUUUUUUUUCCUGAGACAGAGCUUUGCUCUGUCACCCAGGCUGGAGUGCAAUGGCGUGAUCUUGCCUCACUGCAACCUAUGCCUCCUGGGUUCAAGCAAUUCUCCUGCCUCAGCCUCCCGAGUAGCUAGGAUUACAGGCAUGGGCCACCAUGCCCGGCUAAUUUUUUGUAUUUUUAGUAGAGACGGGAUUUCACCAUGUUUGCCAGGCUGGUCUCAAACUCCUGACCUUGUGAUCCGCCCCCGUGGCCUCCCAAAGUGCUGAGAUUGCGGGCGUGAGCCACCACUCCCAGCCAAAAAUUUUUUAAUUUUAAAAGUCAAUGUAUAUCAUUUGUAUUUUAUAGUUAGUGCUUUUUUUGUAUUGUUUAAAUUUUUAAAAUUCUUCCAUUAAUCUAAAAUAUUUUCAUGUGUGCUUUCUACUAAGAGAAUUUAAGUUUUGUUUUUGACAUUAUAGUUUUUAAUACAUUUGGAUUUGGAUCUUAUAUCUUGUAUGAUACAGAACUCUAAUUUUCGCCUUUAACUACAUGCAUAAUCAUUUUUUCCACCUCCACUUAUUGAAUAGUUCCUAAUUUUCCCAUCAAUAUCAUGUGUUUCUUCUGGCAUAGCCAAAGUCCCAUAAAUGUGUGGGUCUGUUGUAGUUUCCUAUUUAAUUCAGUUAAUUUGUCCAAUUUGUUUUAUUAUGCCUUAAUUACCACAGCUUCACAGUAAGUCUUUAUGUCUGAUAGGGCAGCUUCCUCUAGUGUCUUCAGAAAUUUCCUGACUUUAAAAAAAAUCCUUAUUGUUCAUGCUUUUUUAAAGAAUUAGCUUUACAUGAUGCAAGAAAAAGAUCUGUUGGAAUUUUGAUUGUAAUUUUGUUAAAUCUAUAGGUCAACUAAUUACAAUAUUGAAUCUUCUUAUGCACAAACAUGGUAUAUUUCUCCAUUUAUUCAGGUCUUUAUUUAAUGUCUCCUAAUGUCUUUUUGUAGUUUUUACUUAGAGAUCUUACAUAUUUGUUAUUAUAUUUACUCCUAGGUACUUGGUAUUCUCUAAGAUUAUUGAAAAUGCUGUCUUCUUUUUAAUUACAUUUUCAGGUAUUUGUCAUUGGUAUAAAGAAAUGUAUUUGACAAUAAUCUUAUAUUCACCUUAAAUUCUCUUAUUUCUAAUAAAUUGUACUUUUUUUGGUUUUCUACAAAAAUGAUCAUAUCUAAAAAUAAAGUUAGAUUUGUUUAUUCUUCUGCAUCAUUUUGAAUUCAGUUUAUUAUUUCAUGUGCUAUUAGAACCUUUAAUUUAGUAUUAUUUAUUUUUUGAUUUGUAAAUCGGAAUGCUUUUAUUAUCUUUUCAUUUAGGAUGAUGUUUACUGUAGGUUACUUAGAUACGCUCUAUGGAAAUCUCUUUUAUUUUUUCUAAGACCUUUUAUUAUGAAUUUAAUGUUGAAUUUUAUCAAAUGCUUUCUCUGCAUUUAUUAGAAUAAUUAUGAUUUUUCUCUAUCUGUUAUUAUAAUGGGUCAGAUUUAUAGAUUUUUCUCAUACUAAGCCUAUCCUUGUAUUCCUUGGAUAAAUCUAACUUGGUAAUGUUUACUUUUUUCAUAACUUUUAGCUAUUAAGUAGAUACCAAAUUUUCUUUCAAGGUCAAGUUUGAUAGUUAUAAAAAACUAGUGAUACUAAGUCAUAGAAAAUAUACUUUAAAAAACUAGUGAUACUAAGUCAUAGAAAAUAUACUUUAUUUUAUAAAAAGACUUUAACUGUAAAAAGUAAAAAAAAAAAAAAAAAAAAAAAAAAAAAAAAAAAAAACCUGGCCGGGUGCGCUGGCUCACCCCUGUAAUCCCAGCACUUUGGGAGGCCGAGGCAGGCAGAUCACGAGGUCAGGGGAUCGAGACCAUCCUGGCUAACACGGCGAAACCCCGUCUUUACUAAAAAUACAAAAAAUCAGCCGGGCGUGGUGGUGGGCGCCCGUAUUCCCAGCUACUCGGGAGGCUGAGGCAGGGGAAUGGCGUGAACCCUGGGGGGGCGGAGCUUGCAGUGAGCCAAGAUUGCGCCACUGCACUCCAGCCUGGGAGACAGAGCAAGACUCUGCCUCAAAAAAAAAAAAAAAAAAAACCCCUAGAAUUUUAAUUACUGCCUUUACUUUUAAUUCAGUGGUUUUUAGUAUAUUCACAGAGUUGUGUAACAAUCACCAUGAUCAAUUUUAGCAUAUUUUUAUUACUUCAAAAAGCAACUCUGGACUCAUGAGCAGUCAUUCACUCCCCAUCUGCUCCCAACCCCUUUGUUCCCAUCCGCCCACCCAGCCCUAGGCAGCCACUAAUCUACUUUCUGUCUCUACAGAUUUGCCUGUUCUGGACCUUUCAUAUAAAUGCAAUCAGGCAAAAGAAAGGAGAUUUCAGUGCUCAGUGUUGCCAGGUAUCUCUGCCUCCAGUUUUGCACCUUCCUGGAAAGCUCAUUUUGUUCAGAUUGUCUGCCUGCCUCUAUCUAUCCUGCCUUCAGUGGAUGGCAGAGAUUUCAUCUCUUUUGUUUGCACAGCCUUGAAAGGUGCUUGAUACAGAGAUGCUUGGUAAAUACUUGCAGAAUAAAUUAUAAAAGUAACACAUACUCAUAAAAAUUUUAAAGUAAAAAUAUGUAUAGUAAUAAACACUUGGUGCUUAUUACAUAUCAUCCAGUGGGAUAAAUGCUUGUAAGUAUAGUCAGCCUUCUGUUUCCCUGGGUUCCAGAUUUGUGGAUUCAACCAACUGUGGCUCUAAAAUAUCUGGGGGGAAAAUGGCAUCUGUACUGAACAUGUACAUACUUCUUUUCUUGUCAUUCCUUAAACAAUACAGUAUAACUAUUUACAUAGCAUUUAUACUGUAUUAGGUAUUAUAAGUAAUCUAGAGAUUAUUUAAAAUAUACUGGAGGAUGUGCAUAGGUUAUAUGCACAUACUAUGCCAUUUUAUAUCAGAGAUUUGAGCAUCCAAGGAUUUGGGUAUCUGCAAAUUUUGGUAUUCUUGGGAGGUCCUGGAACCAAUCUCUUACAGAUACCAAAGGAUGGCUGUAUUCUCCAUUCCUUUUCACCAGCUGAGAUCGUACUGUUAUCUGCACUUAACAGAUUAAGAAAUAGGUGUGAUGAGUAAUUUGUUUAAAUUCUGUGGUUGAUUGUGUUACUUUUCGACUGUAUUCUGUGCUCUUCCCUACAGGAGGAUUAUUCAUUCCUGUUUACUUGAAUUCAGGCAACAUCAUGUAACUUGAUUUAAGGAACCGAUACAUGAGUGGAAAUUCUGUGUGGCAUUUCUGAGCAGAAGUUUUAUGAGGCAGCACAUGCUCACUGUGUUACCUGUUCCUUCUGCCAUGAGACUGGCAGAUGGACAUUCUCUAUCAGCCAGGAUAUCAGAAUGAAGAAAUGUAGAACAUAGACCAAAACACCAAUGAGAAAUAAGCGUUUGUUGUUUUAGGGAAAGUGUGUUACCACAGCAUAAUUUAACCUAUCCCAAGUGAAUACAUAUUCAUGGAGUUAAUAUCUAUACCUGAAAAUUGAAACUCAGGUUGUCUACAUCUAACUAUGCCUCUGUCUUUUCCAAAGGUAUAAAGUAGGAGAAACUUCCCCAUGAUCCUACUCUUCCAGUGUUAACUACAGUUAAAAUUUAGUGUAAAAUUGUUUAAUACUUUUUCCUAUGUGUAUGUCAAUGUUCAUUUUUUUAAAACUGGGACCACUUUAUAUGACACAUACUAUUUUAGAGCUUCCUUUUCCUACUUAGUAAUAUAAAAUGGACCACUGUCACAGGUUAGGUUUUCCAUAAACAGACACUGAGUUUGGAAUAUAAGAUUAUUUUCAGGGAUCAUCACCUUUAAAAGGAGAAGUGAAGAAGUAGGAUUGGGGAGAGCAAGAAGUAGAGCUGUGAUGCUGGCCCACAGAUGUCUCUCUGGGGUUCGUAUUGUUUGUCAGAGUUAUCCCAUAUCUUGUAGAAGUGGCCAUGCUUUUCAACCCACUCCUUACUCAGUGGCCUGAUGUGGGCUGCCCUGAGCAAGGUAGCUUUCUGCAGCUGAAGCAGACACUGAAGUUGCUGGCAGCUAACUCCAUCUUUGCAGCUGGGCAGCAAAUCCUUUCUUGAAGUGGGAUCUGGACAUUUAUAUUUGUCUAGCACAGUUCAUUUUUUGCAUCACUUGGAAACCCUUCUCUGUUUUCAUUCCUUUUGUUCUUAAUGUAUAUUCUCAAGCCUCUUGUCUACAAUCACUAGAUAAGUUUGUUGUAAACUGUCUUAACUAUAAAAUGAAGAAGGUAUAGGUAACUAUAAUAUGAAGAAUGCAUUGGAAGUGUAAAUUUUAAAGGAGUUUGCUGAUUAAUAACUCUUUUGUUGUAACUUUUGUUCAAUGAUGUUUGACAAAUACUUUUUUUUUUUUUAAUUUGAGGCAGAGUCUCACUCUGUUGCCCAAACUGGAAUGCAGUGGCAUGAUCUCAGCUCACUGCAACCUCCGCCUGUUGGGCUCAGAGAUCUUCCCGCCCCAGCCUCCCGAGGAGCUGGAACUACAGCCUUGUGCCACCACACCCAGCAAAUUUUUGUAUUUUAUUGCAGAGAUGGCAUUUCACCAUGUUGCCCAGGCUGGUCUUGAACUACUGGACUUAAGCAAUCCGCCCACCUGGGCCUCCCAAAGUGCUGAGAUUACAGGCAUGAGCCACCGCGCCUGGCUGACAAAUACUUUUUAAAAAUAUCCAAGUUUCUGGAUUUUAUUCACCUCUACAAAAAUGAUUUAAGUCCUGUAGAAACAUGUGCCCACAAAUGACACAGUAAUCUCCAGCAAUGUGUUCAACAGCACGUUGAGCAUAAUUGAGCAUAACAGACAUUUUUAAAUUUGUUGUCUCAAAUUCCAUUUAGAUUUGGCUAUUGAUGCAAAAUUAGGGAGGUCAUUUUUCACUAGAUUACUUUCAAUGCUGGAAUCCAUACUUAAAAAAAAAAAAAGAAGAAACUAGAUUUAGUAUAUCUUUCUUUGCCACUUCAGGCUUCCAAAGGAGAAAAAUUCAUGGAUAAGUCAUUAACUGUUACAAAUGCAUUAUGUCUUCAGUUGUGAUGGUUAUGAUAAAACAUGUUUAUUUUAUAUUUGUAAUUUAGUAAAAUUAGUUGAUUCAAGGAGCUCUAUCAUAAAUGGGAAGUAAUAAAAUGAUAAUAAUUAAAGCAGGUUAUUUUUCUCUGGUCAUUUUUGCAUUCUUUGUAGCUCAUGAAGUAGAUUUGUUGCUUUCAUCUGUGUCUGCCAUGUAUGCUAGGCAGGAAAGAAAGGAAGUAAGAAAGAUAUAGCCAUGUGGGGAAAGGAGACAGAGGGAAGGAGGAGGAAAGAGAAGGAAGGAAAUAAAAUCAACUCUUCGUUUUCUGCACUUUCCCUGAGCAAGUUCUUUUUUAUUUGUGUGUACAAUGAAUCUGCGUUUCUCCCUGCCACGCCCCCUCCCAACCCCUUUGGCUAAUAGAAAGCUCUGAAAAAAAUUUUGAAACUUAUAUCCAAAUGCAGUGGAUAUAAAUAAAGUUAUUUCCCCUGGCUUUUCAAAAAUAUGAGUGAGUGUUGGAUAUUAGAAAGCUACCUUACUUCUUUAGAUCGAGACCAUCCUGGCUAAUACGGU
rnacentral:lncRNA from 1 species